UACGUAGGCAGCGAGCGUUGUUCGGAGUUACUGGGCGUAAAGAGUGCGUAGGCGGUUUUCUAAGUUUGGUGUGAAAUCUCCCGGCUUAACUGGGAGGGUGCGCCGAAGACUGGAAGGCUUGAGUAUGGGAGAGGUAAGCGGAAUUCCUGGUGUAGCGGUGAAAUGCGUAGAUAUCUGGAGGAAUACCGGUGGCGAAGGCGGCAUCCUGGACCGACAUUGACGCUGAACGGCGAAAGCUAGGGGAGCAAACGGG
rnacentral:rRNA from 1 species